UCAAUGUGGAGGCUAUAUACAGGGUGUUACGGUACAGAGUCAAUGUGGAGGCUAUAUACAGGGGGUACUGGUACAGAGUCAAUGUGGAGGUUAUAUACAGGGUGUUACGGUACAGAGUCAAUGUGGAGGUUAUAUACAGGGGGUUACGGUACAGAGUCAAUGUGGAGACUAUAUACAGGGGGUACCGGUACAGAGUCAAUGUGGAGGCUAUAUACAGGGGUACUGGUACAGAGUCAAUGUGGAGGUUAUAUACAGGGGUUACGGUACAGAGUCAAUGUGGAGGCUAUAUACAGGGGGUACCGGUACAGAGUCAAUGUGGAGGCUAUAUACAGGGUGUUACAGUACAGAGUCAAUGUGGAGGUUAUAUACAGGGGUACCGGUACAGAGUCAAUGUGGAGGCUAUAUACAGGGGGGUACCGGUACAGAGUCAAUGUGGAGGCUAUAUACAGGGGUAUAUACAGGGUGUACCGGUACAGAGUCAAUGUGGAGGCUAUAUACAGGGGUACCGGUACAGAGUCAAUGUGGAGGCUAUAUACAGGGUGUUACGGUACAGAGUCAAUGUGGAGACUAUAUACAGGGUGUACUGGUACAGAGUCAAUGUGGAGGCUAUAUACAGGGGGUACUGGGGGCACCGGUUAGUCGAGG
ensembl:lncRNA